rnacentral:rRNA from 1 species
AGAAUGAACGCUGGCGGCGUGCUUAACACAUGCAAGUCGCACGAGAACGCUUCAGCUUGCUGAGGCUAGUAAAGUGGCGCACGGGUGAGUAACGCGUGGGUAAUCUCCCCCCGAAUUGGGGAUAACAUCGCGAAAGCGAUGCUAAUACCGAAUGAUAUCUGAAAAAUUCCGAUUUUUUGGAUCAAAGGUGGCCUCUACAUGUAAGCUACUGUUUGGGGAUGAGCCCGCGUACCAUUAGCUUGUUGGUAGGGUAAUGGCCUACCAAGGCUACGAUGGUUAGCUGGUCUGAGAGGAUGAUCAGCCACACUGGAACUGACACACGGUCCAGACUCCUACGGGAGGCAGCAGUGAGGAAUUUUGCGCAAUGGGGGAAACCCUGACGCAGCAACGCCGCGUGAGUGAUGAAGGCUUUCGGGUCGUAAAGCUCUGUCAAGUGGGAAGAAAACAUAUGGUGACAAUACCGCUGUAUGCUGACGGUACCACUGAAGGAAGCACCGGCUAACUCCGUGCCAGCAGCCGCGGUAAUACGGGGGGUGCGAGCGUUAUUCGGAAUUACUGGGCGUAAAGAGCGCGUAGGCGGUCUUUUAAGUCAGGUGUGAAAGCCCGGGGCUCAACCCCGGAAGUGCACUUGAAACUAAGAGACUUGAGUAUGGGAGAGGGAAGUGGAAUUCCUGGUGUAGCGGUGAAAUGCGUAGAUAUCAGGAGGAACAUCGGUGGCGAAGGCGACUUCCUGGACCAAUACUGACGCUGAGGCGCGAAGGCGUGGGGAGCAAACAGGAUUAGAUACCCUGGUAGUCCACGCAGUAAACGGUGAACACUAGGUGUAGCGGGUAUUGACCCCUGCUGUGCCGCAGCAAACGCAUUAAGUGUUCCGCCUGGGGAGUACGGCCGCAAGGUUA